rnacentral:rRNA from 1 species
GACAGAGGGUGCAAACGUUGUUCGGAAUUACUGGGCGUAAAGCGUGUGUAGGCGGCCACGUAAGUCGGAUGUGAAAGCCCAGGCUCAACCUGGGAAGUGCACUCGAUACUGCGUGGCUCGAGUAUCGGAGAGGUUGGUGGAAUUCUCGGUGUAGAGGUGAAAUUCGUAGAUAUCGGGUGGAACACCAGUGGCGAAGGCGGCGAUCUGGACGAUAACUGACGCUGAGACGCGAAAGCG